rnacentral:rRNA from 1 species
UACGUAGGGGGCAAGCGUUGUCCGGAAUCAUUGGGCGUAAAGCGCGCGUAGGCGGCCUCACAAGUCCGCUGUAAAAGUCAAAGGCUCAACCUUUGAAUGCCAGUGGAAACUGUGAGGCUAGAGUCCGGAAGAGGCGAGUGGAAUUCCUGGUGUAGCGGUGGAAUGCGCAGAUAUCAGGAGGAACACCAAUGGCGAAGGCAGCUCGCUGGAACGGUACUGACGCUGAGGCGCGAAAGCGUGGGGAGCAAACAGG